GAUGAACGCUGGCGGCGUGCCUAAUACAUGCAAGUCGAGCGAACGGACGAGAAGCUUGCUUCUCUGAUGUUAGCGGCUGACGGGUGAGUAACACGUGGAUAACCUACCUAUAAGACUGGGAUAACUUCGGGAAACCGGAGCUAAUACCGGAUAAUAUUUUGAACCGCAUGGUUCAAAAGUGAAAGACGGUCUUGCUGUCACUUAUAGAUGGAUCCGCGCUGCAUUAGCUAGUUGGUAAGGUAACGGCUUACCAAGGCAACGAUGCAUAGCCGACCUGAGAGGGUGAUCGGACACACUGGAACUGAGACACGGUCCAGACUCCUACGGGAGGCAGCAGUAGGGAAUCUUCCGCGAUGGGCGAAAGCCUGACGGAGCAACACCGCGUGAGUGAUGAAGGUCUUCGGAUCGUAAAACUCUGUUAUUAGGGAAGAACAUAUGUGUAAGUAACUGUGCACAUCUUGACGGUACCUAAUCAGAAAGCCACGGCUAACUACGUG
rnacentral:rRNA from 1 species